AAAGGAACGAUUCUGCAACCAGACCUGAAGUUGCACAGCCUCUUCGUCGUGACAACGGGAAUGCAAGGUCAGCUACUCAAACUGGUGUUGAGUCACAACCAUUGAAGAAUGGCAAGCAGAAAUAUACUAAACACCAGCCUAAUGAAUUUUUUGAGAAUCUCAAAGAUAUUCUGUCAGGGUCCAUGAUCUCAGAUUGUCACUCAAUUGUUCCAGAUAUUGCAACUGCAGAGAAGAUUGGUGGAUGUGUCAUUGAUUUUCAAAUAUAAAGUUUAUGCUAAUCUAGUUCAGGAUCUUCAUUGAGACUGUAGGGUAAUGGCUAAUGAGCUCCCAACUGAAGGGUUUUUUGGUCUGUAUAGUUGGCAGCUGAGUUUCUAGUUGGAGAAGAAUACAGAUUUCCAUUGCAGGAAACAGUUUUUGCAAUAAAAUUAGUAGCCUAGAGCUUUUCUUCUUCUCCCUUUGAGCGCGUGCGUCUGGUGGGGUUGGCUGAUAGGGUGGUCCUUAGAUUAGAGGGACCAUAAUUUUGUGUAUAAACUUUCCAUGCAUUAGACUUCAUUUGCAUGUGUGUAGUUGCAAUUUCUUUAUUAUUUUUAGAUACAAGUGAUAAUCUAAUUUUCGGAGAGGGGAAUUCGAACU